GCUGGGCAUGGUGGGGCGUGCCUGUAAUCCCAGCUACUCAGGAGGCUGAGGCAGGAGAAUUGCCUGAACCCAGGAGGCGGAGGUUGCGGUGAGCCAAGAUCGUGCCAUUGCACUCCAGCCUGGGUAACAAGAGCGAAACUCCGUCUCAAAAAACAAAAAAAAAAAUUACUAACAGCCAACUUCUUUUUUUUCUCUUUUUUUUCCUUUGAGACUGAGUUUCCCUCUUGUUGCCCAGGCUGAAGUGCAAUGGCGCGAUCUCGGCUCAAGGCAACCUCUGCCUCCCAGGUUUAAGCGAUUCUCCUGCCUCAG
rnacentral:sRNA from 13 species